rnacentral:lncRNA from 1 species
AAAAUCUUUGCUUUUAAUCUGAUAGAGAGAUGAAAGACAUAGAGAGAGAGCAACUUAAAUCAAUAAUCAAAUAUACAAUUGCAUUAAUUCACUUAACCUUAGAAUCCAUAAUGAAAUUACAGCAGAAUAGCCCUAAAUGCUUAGCUCUCCAUGAAUGGAGUUGAAUACAUGAUGAAAUAAAAGAGAGGAGUGGUGAAUAUGAAGAUGAUGUCCUUUCUGUCUCCCCUGGGUCUCUUUAUAUAGGGCUUGAUUGGGCUUGGAUUCUGAAUAUUCAAUUGACAAAAUCUUUUAUCUCAUAUCUUCCAAAUAACUAAAAGAUUUAGAUAAUUAUAACAUUAUUUGGAAGAUAUUUUCUGUUGAUAUUCCCAAAUUAAAUUAAUUCAACAACUGAAUUUUAUCUUUUAGCUUUUUUAACUUUCCAAAAUUGCACAAAUGCCUUGAAAUUUUCUCUAUCUGCACAUAAACCCUUUUUUAAUUUCUGAAAUUGCACAUUGGCCCCUGUUGACCAGCUUUGACUCAAAAAUGAUCUUCUCUUAAUCUUUUCUUCUUUCCUCUCUUCCUCUUUUUCUUAAUCUCCUCCCUCAACUUUUGUUUUUUCUCUUUUCUUCUUUUCUUCUUUAUUUUUGCAUAUUUUUUCUUUUUUUUCUUUUUUCUCAACCACUGUUUUUUCUCCCUCAUCAUCAUUAUCUUCCUCAACAAACUUUUUUGUUUCUAUUUCCUCUAUCUUUUCCUCCUUUCUCUCCAUGUUUUUUUCCUCUAUCUUUUCCUCAUCUAUCUCUAUCUAUUUUUCCUCUAUCUUCUCCUCCUUUCUCUCCAUGUUUUUCUCCUCAACAACCUUUUCUGUUUCUAUCUCUUCUAUCUUUUUCACCUCUCUCUCUAUCUUCUCCUCAGCAACAACCUCAUCACUUUCAGAGAUAGUGGCUUGACAUUCCUUCCUAGGGUUAACUUCAGUACUAACUCUAGAAUCAUUCAAAGAUGCAGUCACACAAUCUAGUUCUG